rnacentral:rRNA from 1 species
GAUCAUGGCUCGAGGGUGAACGCUAGCUACAGGCUUAACACAUGCAAGUCGAGGGGCAGCAUGGUCUUAGCUUGCUAAGGCCGAUGGCGACCGGCGCACGGGUGAGUAACGCGUAUCCAACCUGCCUUACACUCUUGGACAGCCUUCUGAAAGGGAGAUUAAUACAAGAUGUUAUCAUGAGUAAGCAUUUUCGCAUGAUUAAAGGUUUACCGGUGUAAGAUGGGGAUGCGUUCCUA